UUAUAAGGAAAGCGUCGGUCCUCCAUUUCAGCCUUUCUCUCUGCCAGGACGUGGCCGUAGCAUUUCUGGACUUGUAAACACCGGUCUCUUUGGGGCCU
rfam:Loxodonta africana unplaced genomic scaffold scaffold_2, whole genome shotgun sequence.